UCGUGUAAGAAGAGGCGCCCGCUUCUCACCUGAUUGACAUUUUGUUCAGAUUAGGUUUUGACAUUCGCUGAUGGAUUGUAUAAACUUCAGGAAUCAGAAGUGUGGGCGCAUCAUACGUCCACACUUUUUUAUUUUA
rfam:Thermoactinomyces sp. DSM 45891 genome assembly, contig: Ga0066384_124